rnacentral:rRNA from 1 species
UAAAAAAAGGUAAGCUACUAAGAGCGAAUGGUGGAUGCCUUGACUGGUAAAGGCGAUGAAGGACGUACUAGACUGCGAUAAGCUACGGGGAGCUGUCAAGAAGCUUUGAUCCGUAGAUUUCCGAAUGGGGCAACCCAAUGUAUAGAGAUAUACAUUACCUAUAUAGGAGCGAACGAGGGGAAUUGAAACAUCUUAGUACCCUCAGGAAAAGAAAUCAAUAGAGAUUGCGUCAGUAGCGGCGAGCGAAAGCGCAAGAGGGCAAACCCAGUGCUUGCACUGGGGGUUGUAGGACUGCAAUGUGCAAGAGGUGAGUUUAGCAGAACAUUCUGGAAAGUAUAGCCAUAGAGGGUGAUAGUCCCGUAUGCGAAAAACAAACCUUAGCUAGCAGUAUCCUGAGUAGGGCGGGACACGAGAAAUCCUGUCUGAAGCUGGGUCGACCACGAUCCAACCCUAAAUACUAAUACCAGAUCGAUAGUGCACAAGUACCGUGAGGGAAAGGUGAAAAGAACUGAGGUGAUCAGAGUGAAAUAGAACCUGAAACCAUUUGCUUACAAUCAUUCAGAGCCCUAUGUAGCAAUACAGGGUGAUGGACUGCCUUUUGCAUAAUGAGCCUGCGAGUUGUGGUGUCUGGCAAGGUUAAGCAAACGCGAAGCCGUAGCGAAAGCGAGUCUGAAUAGGGCGCUUAGUCAGAUGCUGCAGACCCGAAACGAAGUGAUCUAUCCAUGAGCAAGUUGAAGCUAGUGUAAGAACUAGUGGAGGACUGAACCCAUAGGCGUUGAAAAGCCCCGGGAUGACUUGUGGAUAGGGGUGAAAGGCCAAUCAAACUUCGUGAUAGCUGGUUCUCUCCGAAAUAUAUUUAGGUAUAGCGUUGUGUCGUAAUAUAAGGGGGUAGAGCACUGAAUGGGCUAGGGCAUACACCAAUGUACCAAACCCUAUCAAACUCCGAAUACCUUAUAUGUAAUCACAGCAGUCAGGCGGCGAGUGAUAAAAUCCGUCGUCAAGAGGGAAACAACCCAGACUACCAGCUAAGGUCCCUAAAUCUUACUUAAGUGGAAAACGAUGUGAAGUUACUUAAACAACCAGGAGGUUGGCUUAGAAGCAGCCAUCCUUUAAAGAAAGCGUAAUAGCUCACUGGUCUAGUGAUUUUGCGCGGAAAAUAUAACGGGGCUAAAGUAAGUACCGAAGCUGUAGACUUGCGCACAACUUAGAUUAUUUAAGUUUAGAAUAUGAGAAACUAAGUUAUAUGUUUAGUUAUAUUUUUACUGAUUUUUAUAGAGUAAAGAUAGAAAUAAAACUUAGUAAAAUCAGUAAAAAUAUUCUUAGACUAAAGUUAAGUAGUUUAAGUUGUGUGCAAGUGGUAGGAGAGCGUUCUAUUUGCGUCGAAGGUAUACCGGUAAGGAGUGCUGGAGCGAAUAGAAGUGAGCAUGCAGGCAUGAGUAGCGAUAAUUAAUGUGAGAAUCAUUAACGCCGUAAACCCAAGGUUUCCUACGCGAUGCUCGUCAUCGUAGGGUUAGUCGGGUCCUAAGUCGAGUCCGAAAGGGGUAGACGAUGGCAAAUUGGUUAAUAUUCCAAUACCAACAUUAGUGUGCGAUGGAAGGACGCUUAGGGCUAAGGGGGCUAGCGGAUGGAAGUGCUAGUCUAAGGUCGUAGGAGGUUAUACAGGCAAAUCCGUAUAACAAUACUCCGAGAACUGAAAGGCUUUUUGAAGUCUUCGGAUG